AGUGAACGCUGGCGGCAUGCUUUACACAUGCAAGUCGAACGGCAGCGCGGUCUUCGGCUGGGCGUCGGGGGGCGAACGGGUGAGUGAUACAGCGGAACGUCCCCAUCUGUGUUUGAGAGCGCGGCGAAAGACGGAUAAAUACCCCAUUAGAGCUGACGGUGUAAGCGGGAGAGCUUCGGACCUUGCGCUCUUGCGGGGGCGGAUGGGCGGAUGUCGGAUUAGCUAGUUGGGGGGGUAAAGGCCCACCAAGGUGACGAUCGGUAGCUGGUCUGAGAGGAUGAUCAGCCACACUGGAACUGAGACACGGCCCAGACUCCUACGGGAGGCAGCAGUGGGGAAUAUUGGACAAUGGGCGCAAGCCUGAUCCAGCCAUGCCGCGUGUGUGAUGAAGGCCUUCGGGUUGUAAAGCCCUUUUGUCGGGAAAGAAAAGCAGUAGGCCAAUACCACGGUUCGAUGACGGUACCCGAAGAAUAAGCACCGGCUAACUACGUG
rnacentral:rRNA from 1 species